CCCGCCUUUGUCAUAGUAUAGGCGCCCCAAGAGUGUUGAUGCCGACUGACCGAAGAUUACAAAGAAUGCAUACAUGAUGAUGUUGAUCCACCACUUAUAGUUCCUUGGUUCAUGGCUUGCCAGUUUCUUGCUAUUCUGAUAUUGAGGUGAGUUUUCUUCCUUUACUUCUUGAACUGUUAGAAAAACAUUUGAAUAAUUGUCAAAUGGGUUUCUUUAUCUGUUAUAUUUUGCAAACCUAAAAUGUCUGCUUUUUCUCUAUGUCGUUUCGACUCAUCAUUUUUCUUGAAGAAUUAAUAUCUAACAUUCAUUCCGACAUUGCAAACCUAAAUGCAUGAAUAUAACAUGAAAAAAAUAAUAAAAGCAUAAUACGACAUGACAACAAAACAAAUCUAUAAUAUGUAUAAAAAACAUAAAUGUAAAUAAUCUUUUGAACUGAUGAAAAUUAUUUUUUAUUGCUUAUUGUUUACUAAAUCGAUAUCAGGAUAAAAUUUUAAUAUCAUUAAAAUUUAAUAUAGGUUCAAUUAUGCUUGGUAUAUAUGUUAAAUUAUACUUUCAAUGUAAUUUAAAAUUAUUCAAUGUUGAAUUAAAAUUUUGAUGGGUAUUUUAAAUAUAUACUAUAAAAUUAAAAUUUAUUACUAUAAAAUAGAUGCAUUGCAUUUGGGCAUUUUCAUUCAAGUGGUAGCUUAAAAAAAUCACUAAAAUGGUUUGGCUUUCAUUAUUUUUAUUCUAUUGUUUGAAAAUUUUUCAUUCUAUAAUAUUUUAAUUAUCAAAAUAAUUUAUAAAUUUUGAUCAUUUUGGCAAUUUGAAUGAAGUAAAAAUAUAUCAUUUAAUGAAAUAAAAAAUUAAGAAUGUAAAAUCACAUGCUAACAUGUAUGAUAUUAAAAACUUAUAUAACACAUGAAUUUGCCAAUAUCUAUAUAAAACAAACUAUUAAUAUAUUGAAAAGAAUUAUAUAAACAUUACUACUUUAAAUGCUAAUAUUAUAUGAAAAAAUAAUAUCAAUUGUCAGAUUUGUUAGAAACAAAAGCCUAGAUAUGCAAAUUAAACAUAUAACUUCAUCAUUGUAAUGAGUAAGAAAAUUAUUUUGAUAACACUUUUUAAAAUAAAAACAUCAUAACGCUUAAAAAAGUAAAAUUAAGUUGUAAAAAGCAAAGUGAUAAUCAGAUAAUAAUUCUAAUUAAUCAUGUUGCAUUAUUUCUUGGCAUCUCUCUACAUCCAUAAAAGGAAAAAAUAAAGAAACAAAAAGCCGUAAAAAUGAUCAAUUCCUUCUAAACUCUAUAAUAUUAAGGCUUAACUACAAAUUGGUCCCUAAACCAUAUCAUUUUUUCCACUUAGGUACUUAAGGCCUUUUUUAGUCUAAAGUGGUACCUAAACCAUCAAUUUUGUUUCAUUCUAUCCCACAUACGAAGUCAAAGAACAUGCCACAUGCCAUGUUCUUAUUGGCUGGUAUAAUGUUUUGGGUAAAAUGAGACGUUCAUUUUUUUUACUAUAACGAGAUUCAUAGUUUAGGUACCACUUUUGAUGAUAAAGAACUUUUAGGUUACUAACUGAGAAAAGUGGUAAAGUGGUAUAAUUUGAGGUUUAAUUUUAUAUUUAAGUCUAAUAUUAAUUGUAAAAUGAAUCAAAUAGGCAAAAAAAAAUGUUAUGUUCAAAAUUCAAUCCAUUUUUCAAUCAGAUCUUAUUUUUUGUUUAAGCCUUUCUCUAAGCCUAAUAAAUUGUUAAUCUUCUCAAAUAUCGGACAAUUUUUUAGCAUAGGCAAAAAAAUCCGACCCUCAAAAAGCUGUAGUGCUGUUAGAGACAUAUUUGAUUGGCCGAUUGAAACAGAAAAUAGUAGUUUGACCGGUGUCAUAUGAUCGAAUAGGGAGAAUCAUUGUGAGCCAGUAAAAAUUGGAAAGUGAAAUAAAAAAACCGGUCUGAUUCUUACAACAUUGCUUCUAGAGGUAGAGAUUGUUGCUUUGACUUUGAAACCUAAAACAUAGUGAUAGAGCAUAGAGAUUAAACAAGAGAGUUGGCUUGAUUGCUAUCUUUCUGUAAAUAACAACAGAAAUAUAGAGAACUCUAAAAUCCAUUUUGUAGUUUGCUUCUCUGAUAUUCAUGUGUGCUUUUUCUAUGUUGGUCCCUUUAUUUAUAUUUGGUAUUUGUGUUCGACUUAUAUGACAUGAGAAUAUGAUCCCAUAAAAUAUACUAGAAGAACUUUUAUAUAAGAUACGUACCCGUAUUUGAUAUAUGAAUUUGAGUAAACAUAGGAGUCUACUUACCAAUGAUGUGGAGUUGAACUUCUUGAGUUUUUCCCAUAUUCAAAACAUGAAGAGGUUCGAAAAAGCAGCCCCCGGUUAGAGAAGGAGAGAAAAGAGGAGAUAGUUUAACAAAAUAGGGAUGUAUGUAUGUAUGUAAAGUAUAGCAGCUAAUUGUGAAUGGCAAUUUAAGUAUCCAACGGAAGAAAAAGAAAGGUAUCCAGUUCCAUCCAUAUGAAGCAUGAGGACGAUGACGACCGCAUCUUGUUUCUUUCUUUUUUGUCUUGUCGUCUUUAUUGUUUGUGAUUGAGUAUGUGUUCAAUACAUGCAUGUUCAAAAUUCAUUACAUAUUUUUCGAUUUAUUUGAAGGGUUAUAUUUCUUCACUCAUGUCCGAAUGUGUGUCGUAUUUCAAAGGAGGAAGCAACAUAAAGCAUAACCAUAUUAUCAUCUGUCAUGAAUCUUUUUUUACAAAUUUGAGAAUGGUGGGUAUGUAUAUGUACAUUGACCUUGUGCAGAAAUGAAACAUGUGCAUGGUUUGAGUUUGAUGGGGGCUUCUUAGUUUGCAAUAAAUAGUUUAGUUUAUAUAUCAAUUGCAAUAUCUACAUCUUCAAUAACAGGAAAUGCACAUGGCUUAUCAAAUGCAUCACUCAUGAUCACGCAAUUUAGUGCCUUGGAUUUUGACCAUUUUGUAAAAUGAUGAUGAUGCUUUCUUUUUGGUGCUAAACUUGAACUAUCUCAUUUACACUAGAUCUCCAUCACAAAGGAGAUGGCUUUUUUCUUUGCUCUUGCGGCUUCCUCAGGC
rnacentral:lncRNA from 1 species